rnacentral:rRNA from 1 species
CGUAGGUGGUGGUUUAAGUCUGUUGUGAAAGCCCUGGGCUCAACCUGGGAAUUGCAGUGGAUACUGGGCAACUAGAGUGUGGUAGAGGGUAGYGGAAUUCCCGGUGUAGCAGUGAAAUGCGUAGAGAUCGGGAGGAACAUCCAUGGCGAAGGCAGCUACCUGGACCAACACUGACACUGAGGCACGAAAGCGUGGGGAGCAAACAGGAUUAGAUACCCUGGUAGUCCACGCCCUAAACGAUGCGAACUGGA